GCUUCUCCUUUCCGGUAUGACACCAUAACUCCCUACAACACAUCGAGGUUAAACUCUUUUCUCUUCGCUGCGCAUCUUCUUCUCCAAUUCAUUCAUUCAUUCUGUUCUCGAUUUCGAUUCGUUCUGUUAGACGUAGGGCACGCAACUUAUUUCUUCUCGAGACGGACCUGUUGCGGUUGUGAAGUGUGAUUCAAGGGAGAUAUCUACUAUGGGUACGAAUCGAUCCGAGGCUCUGCACAAUUUCUCGAUGCCGCGCAAAUUGCGGUGGGCGAAGCAGCGUCAUCUCCGUUGCAGGAAUGUCGGAAAUAAUCUGCAAAUCGCAGUGGGCGGUGGCUUCGCCGCCAGGGACUCUGGUGCUUCCGAUGAAGCGUAUAAAAUUCGAAUCCAAAAGCUACGUAUGGUGAGCGACAAUACCGAGGCAUCAAAGCGUGCGGCGGAGGAAGCGAAACUCAAUUUCAAUGUCCCCGAGUUUUUUCUGCUAGCGAAUGACGCUCUAAAGGACGUACCCGAGGAAGGCGAGGUCUCUGUUCCUCCGCAACUCUCGCCACAGCUGCCGAAUCAUGCGGCGGAGUCAAGCGGAGCUAAGAGAAACUGUUCGUGGAACUUGCGGAAGAGGCGAGAUCCCUGUUUGGCGUCGGAGAACGGGAUCGCCGAUGGCAAGGGUUUGAAGGUCGAUUCUCCGCGGCACGACCCAGGAGUUUCCGCUGCGAAGUCUCCAAAUCACAGAGGUAAUGGCAGAGUCGAGAAAUCGAAGAGGCCGAAGUUCUCAUUGUCUCUUUCAAAAAAGGAAAUCGAAGAAGAUUACUUCAACAUAUUUAAUCGCCGCCUGCCGGCCAAACCGAAGAAGAGGCCUAAGGCGAUUCAGAAGAAUUUGGAUGGUCUGUUUCCAGGUUUGUAUCUUACUGAAGUUACCCCAAGCAUGUACGAAGUUCCCAAACCAACUCGAUGAUUUUUGAGUUCUGAGGAGUUGAAAGCUGGAGGCCUGUGUUCUUUUGCUGCUGAAGAUGUUCAAUUAUGAUGAGUGGUGGAUUUCGUUGGCUAUGCACCGGGGAUGACUUCGGAAAAUUUUCAUAUAUUGUUUAGUUCGAUCUUUCUUCAGCAUGCUUUUAGGCUUGCCUCUGAUUCAUUUAUGUGAAGUCUAUACCAGCAACCACUUAAGAUCAAAUUGUUCUUAAGGUGAUUGUUAUGUGAUCUUUAGAAAUUUGGUAGAAACAGUUUCAUUCUCUUAUUCUCCAUAUUGUUUAAAUUGUGAAAUUGCUUUCAUGUUUUUUCUUUUUGUCUCUAUACUUAUUAUUCAUCAUCAUUGUUACCUAACGAUUGUAGACUAUAUGAACCCUUUUUUAUUAGGAUUCUUUAAGCUAUUUCAGAUUUAUCCCAAUUCAAAAUCGGGGUGUCUUGAAAACAGCUUAUGUGAAGAACAAACUCAUCAUCUUUGUUUGUAAGAACAGAGAUCAGAGCUUUUCAAAGCUACAACUAGUCAGUCACCUUAAUCAUAAAUAAGUACUUAAAGAAAGAAUCUUGAAGCAAGGCAUGACAAACUCCUAUGAAUAUUGCUUUGUUUUUACUUAUACUUCACGGCCCUUUUCUUAAUUAUAUAUAUUCUUCUUUUCUUUCUUAGUUUUUCACAAAACAAUUCAGGUUUUCUC